CAAUAGCGUAUAUUAAAGUUGUUGCAGUUAAAAAGCUCGUAGUUGGAUUUCUGGUGGGAGCGACCGGUCGGCGCUUAACGGCGUGUGCACUGGAGUUGUCUCUUGCCAUCCUUGAGGAGAACGUGUCUGGCAUUAAGUUGUCGGGCUUGGGAUCCUCAUCGUUUACUGUGAAAAAAUUAGAGUGUUUAAAGCAGGCAUUUGCUGUGAAUACAUUAGCAUGGAAUAAUAAGAUAGGACUUUGGUGCUAUUUUGUUGGUUUGCGUACCAAGGUAAUGAUUAAUAGGGAUAGUUGGGGGUAUUCGUAUUCAAUUGUCAGAGGUGGAAUUCUUGGAUUUAUGGAAGACGAACAACUGCGAAAGCAUUUACCAAGGAUGUUUUCAUUAA
rnacentral:rRNA from 1 species